AACGAACGCUGGCGGCAUGCCUAACACAUGCAAGUCGAACGGGAUCCUGGCUUCGGUCAGGUGAGAGUGGCGGACGGGUGAGUAACGCGUGGGAACCUGCCCAGUGGUGGGGGAUAACUGCGGGAAACUGCAGCUAAUACCGCAUGAGCCCGAGAGGGGAAAGAUUUAUCGCCAUUGGAGGGGCCCGCGUUCGAUUAGGUAGUUGGUGAGGUAACGGCUCACCAAGCCGACGAUCGAUAGCUGGUCUGAGAGGAUGAUCAGCCACACUGGGACUGAGAUACGGCCCAGACUCCUACGGGAGGCAGCAGUGGGGAAUAUUGGACAAUGGGGGCGAACCCUCGAUCCACGCAAUAGCCG
rnacentral:rRNA from 1 species